GGACGUGAGGGCGAUCUGGCUGCGACAUCUGCCACCCCAUUGAUCGCCAGGGUUGAUUCGGCUGAUCUGGCUGGCUGGGCGGGGGUCCCCUUCCUCCCUCACUGCUCCACGUGUGUCCCUCCCGAAGCUGCAGGCUUGGUCGACGAGAAGACCAUCCCCAGUAGAGGAGGACCGUUCUUCUCGGUCAAGGGUAUAUGAGCAGCUGCACUCCCCUGCUAGAACCUCCAGACAAGCUCUCAAGGAAGAGAAAAGAAGCAGUGGACUGUUUGAUAAUAUAUUUUAUCUAAACCAAUACACCCCAAAUAUUAUUAUUUCAAUAUAUAAUAAUGUAACAUU
rnacentral:snRNA from 1 species